CAACCUCAACUCAUAUGGGACUACCCCCUGAAUUUAAGCAUAUUAAUUAGGGGAGGAAAAGAAACUAACAAGGAUUUUCUUAGUAGCGGCGAGCGAAAAGAAAACAGUUCAGCACUAAGUCACUUUGUCUAUAUGGCAAAUGUGAGAUGCAGUGUAUGGAGCGUCAAUAUUCUAGUAUGAGAAAUUAAUGAUUUAAGUCCUUCUUAAAUGAGGCCAUUUACCCAUAGAGGGUGCCAGGCCCGUAUAACGUUAAUGAUUACUAGAUGAUGUUUCCAAAGAGUCGUGUUGCUUGAUAGUGCAGCACUAAGUGGGUGGUAAACUCCAUCUAAAACUAAAUAUAACCAUGAGACCGAUAGUAAACAAGUACCGUGAGGGAAAGUUGAAAAGAACUCUGAAUAGAGAGUUAAACAGUACGUGAAACUGCUUAGAGGUUAAGCCCGAUGAACCUGAAUAUCCGUUAUGGAAAAUUCAUCAUUAAAAUUGUAAUAUUUAAAUAAUAUUAUUAAGAAUAAUGUGCAUUUUUUCCAUAUAAGGACAUUGUAAUCUAUUAGCAUAUCCCAAAUUUAUCAUAAAAUAUAACUUAUAGUUUAUUCCAAUUAAAUUGCUUGCAUUUUAACACAGAAUAAAUGUUAUUAAUUUGAUAAAGUGCUGAUAGAUUUAUAUUAUUACAGAGCGUUAAUUUUUCGGAAUUAUAUAAUGGCAUAAUUAUCAUUGAUUUUUGUGUUUAUUAUAUGCUCUUGUAUGAUUAACAAUGCGAAAGAUUCAGGAUACCUUCGGGACCCGUCUUGAAACACGGACCAAGGAGUCUAACAUAUGUGCAAGUUAUUGGGAUGUAAACCUAAUAGCGUAAUUAACUUGACUAAUAAUGGGAUUAGUUUUUUAGCUAUUUAUAGCUAAUUAACACAAUCCCGGGGCUUCUAUAUAGUUAUGUAUAAUGUAUAUUUUAUAUUAUUUAUGCCUCUAACUGGAACGUACCUUGAGCAUAUAUGCUGUGACCCGAAAGAUGGUGAACUAUACUUGAUCAGGUUGAAGUCAGGGGAAACCCUGAUGGAAGACCGAAACAGUUCUGACGUGCAAAUCGAUUGUCAGAAUUGAGUAUAGGGGCGAAAGACCAAUCGAACCAUCUAGUAGCUGGUUCCUUCCGAAGUUUCCCUCAGGAUAGCUGGUGCAUUUUAAUAUUAUAUAAAAUAAUCUUAUCUGGUAAAGCGAAUGAUUAGAGGCCUUAGGGUCGAAACGAUCUUAACCUAUUCUCAAACUUUAAAUGGGUAAGAACCUUAACUUUCUUGAUAUGAAGUUCAAGGUUAUGAUAUAAUGUGCCCAGUGGGCCACUUUUGGUAAGCAGAAACUGGCGCUGUGGGAUGAACCAAACGUAAUGUUACGGUGCCCAAAUUAACAACUCAUGCAGAUACCAUGAAAGGCGUUGGUUGCUUAAAACAGCAAGGACGGUGAUCAUGGAAGUCGAAAUCCGCUAAGGAGUGUGUAACAACUCACCUGCCGAAGCAACUAGCCCUUAAAAUGGAUGGCGCUUAAGUUGUAUACCUAUACAUUACCGCUAAAGUAGAUGAUUUAUAUUACUUGUGAUAUAAAUUUGAAACUUUAGUGAGUAGGAAGGUACAAUGGUAUGCGUAGAAGUGUUUGGCGUAAGCCUGCAUGGAGCUGCCAUUGGUACAGAUCUUGGUGGUAGUAGCAAAUAAUCGAAUGAGACCUUGGAGGACUGAAGUGGAGAAGGGUUUCGUGUGAACAGUGGUUGAUCACGAGUUAGUCGGUCCUAAGUUCAAGGCGAAAGCCGAAAAUUUUCAAGUAAAACAAAAAAUGCCUAACUAUAUAAACAAAGCGAAUAUAAUACACUUGAAUAAUUUUGAACGAAAGGGAAUACGGUUCCAAUUCCGUAACCUGUUGAGUAUCCGUUUGUUAUUAAAUAUGGGCCUCGUGCUCAUCCUGGCAACAGGAACGACCAUAAAGAAGCCGUCGAGAGAUAUCGGAAGAGUUUCUUUUCUGUUUUAUAGCCGUACUACCAUGGAAGUCUUUCGCAGAGAGAUAUGGUAGAUGGGCUAGAAGAGCAUGACAUAUACUGUUGUGUCGAUAUUUUCUCCUCGGACCUUGAAAAUUUAUGGUGGGGACACGCAAACUUCUCAACAGGCCGUACCAAUAUCCGCAGCUGGUCUCCAAGGUGAAGAGUCUCUAGUCGAUAGAAUAAUGUAGGUAAGGGAAGUCGGCAAAUUAGAUCCGUAACUUCGGGAUAAGGAUUGGCUCUGAAGAUUGAGAUAGUCGGGCUUGAUUGGGAAACAAUAACAUGGUUUAUGUGCUCGUUCUGGGUAAAUAGAGUUUCUAGCAUUUAUGUUAGUUACUUGUUCCCCGGAUAGUUUAGUUACGUAGCCAAUUGUGGAACUUUCUUGCUAAAAUUUUUAAGAAUACUAUUUGGGUUAAACCAAUUAGUUCUUAUCAAUUAUAACGAUUAUCAAUUAACAAUCAAUUCAGAACUGGCACGGACUUGGGGAAU